rnacentral:sRNA from 2 species
CAACAAGCAGUCUAGGGUUCCGUUAACGAUGGCUCGGCGCAAGCAAGAAAGCGUCCGGCAAAUGGUUAAGUCUGGUCCAAGAGACGGCGUAUAGAUGAUGCGGACGUACCGUCCGCCCAUCUAUAUAACACGGAAGGAUAAAAGCCUGGGAGAU